UCAAAAAGUAGUUUAAUUUUAGAAUUCUAGCUUUGGGAGCUAGAGGUGGGGGUUAAAAUCCCUUCUUUUUG
rnacentral:tRNA from 1 species